rnacentral:rRNA from 1 species
GUCCUGGCCGUAAACGUUGGGCACUAGGUGUUGGAGGCAUCGACCCCUCCAGUGCCGCAGCUAACGCAUUAAGUGCCCCGCCUGGGGAGUACGGCCGCAAGGUUGAAACUCAAAGGAAUUGACGGGGGCCCGCACAAGCGGUGGAGCAUGUGGUUCAAUUCGACGCAACGCGAAGAACCUUACCCAGACUUGACAUGCACGGGACCGGUGUCGAAAGACACCUUCCCUUCGGCGCCCGUGCACAGAUGCUGCAUGGCUGUCGU